rnacentral:lncRNA from 1 species
UCUACACAAACACCCACCAUGUUACAUGGCUGUUCUCUUGCUAGGAAACACUGCUCAAGUUGACGGGAACAGCAGCUUACCCGUGAGCAACGUACAGUUAUUCUGCAAUGAACCCACACUAGAAAUGGCGACAGCAGGAAUCCCUCCUGAACCAAGAGGAGGAGGAUAAGGAGAGAAUCAGAACAGGUGGAAUCCACACAACUUUUCUCCCAGCAGAGAAGCAACUAUGACAGCAGGGACCCCUUCUAAACCAAACACUGACAGCAUUCAUUCACAGGCCCAGUAUACCUGAAGGAGCGUCUCCAACCCCAUCGUUCUUCCCGGACACUGAAGUCCAGCGCCAAGGGCCUUCUGGCGGUUCCCUCAUUGCGAGAAGCAAAGCUACAGGGAACCAGGCAGAGGGCCUUGUCGGUAGUGGCACCCACCCUGUGGAGCGCCCUCCCAUCAGAUGUCAAAGAGAUAAACAACUACCUGACAAAAAAAAAAUUUCAGAAGACAUCUUAAGGCUUAAGCUCUGAAGUCCUGCUACAGUUUGAAGGCAAACAAAAGAGUAUCUCUGGUACAAGAAAAUCCAGACUGAGGAAAGGAAAAGUGUGGGAAAGCAGUGAUUUGGAAGUGAACAUCAUAUGGUCAACUGAGAAUCAAUGGAGAUGCAGGACUAGCUACGUGAAACAACAAUAUGAAUGAACCCUUA